rnacentral:rRNA from 1 species
AACGGGGGGAUCGAGUGUUAUUGUGAUGACUGGGCAUAAAGGGUAUGUAGGCGGAAAUAUUAAAACAAAUACAAAACGGUGUUGUGGAAAUACUGAUAGUUUGUUUACUAUAUUUCUGAGUUUUAAUUGUGGUUAUUGAACUCAUUCAGUAAAGGUAAAAUUUGUUGAUAAAUGAGGACAUUCGGAAGCGAAAGCGAUAACCAAAUUAAAUCUGACGCUAAGUACUAAAGCAUGGGUAUCGAAUGGG